rnacentral:rRNA from 1 species
GACGAACGCUGGCGGCGUGCUUGACACAUGCAAGUCGAACGGAAAGGCCCUGCUUUUGUGGGGUGCUCGAGUGGCGAACGGGUGAGUAACACGUGAGUAACCUGCCCUUGACUUUGGGAUAACUUCAGGAAACUGGGGCUAAUACCGGAUAGGAGCUCCUGCUGCAUGGUGGGGGUUGGAAAGUUUCGGCGGUUGGGGAUGGACUCGCGGCUUAUCAGCUUGUUGGUGGGGUAGUGGCUUACCAAGGCUUUGACGGGUAGCCGGCCUGAGAGGGUGACCGGCCACAUUGGGACUGAGAUACGGCCCAGACUCCUACGGGAGGCAGCAGUGGGGAAUAUUGCACAAUGGGCGGAAGCCUGAUGCAGCAACGCCGCGUGCGGGAUGACGGCCUUCGGGUUGUAAACCGCUUUCGCCUGUGACGAAGCGUGAGUGACGGUAAUGGGUAAAGAAGCACCGGCUAACUACGUGCCAGCAGCCGCGGUGAUACGUAGGGUGCGAGCGUUGUCCGGAUUUAUUGGGCGUAAAGGGCUCGUAGGUGGUUGAUCGCGUCGGAAGUGUAAUCUUGGGGCUUAACCCUGAGCGUGCUUUCGAUACGGGUUGACUUGAGGAAGGUAGGGGAGAAUGGAAUUCCUGGUGGAGCGGUGGAAUGCGCAGAUAUCAGGAGGAACACCAGUGGCGAAGGCGGUUCUCUGGGCCUUUCCUGACGCUGAGGAGCGAAAGCGUGGGGAGCGAACAGGCUUAGAUACCCUGGUAGUCCACGCUGUAAACGGUGGGUACUAGGUGUGGGGUCCAUUCCACGGGUUCCGUGCCGUAGCUAACGCUUUAAGUACCCCGCCUGGGGAGUACGGCCGCAAGGCUAAAACUCAAAGGAAUUGACGGGGCCCCGCACAAGCGGCGGAGCAUGCGGAUUAAUUCGAUGCAACGCGUAGAACCUUACCUGGGUUUGACAUGGAUCGGGAGCGCUCAGAGAUGGGUGUGCCUCUUUUGGGGUCGGUUCACAGGUGGUGCAUGGCUGUCGUCAGCUCGUGUCGUGAGAUGUUGGGUUAAGUCCCGCAACGAGCGCAACCCUUGUUCACUGUUGCCAGCACGUUAUGGUGGGGACUCAGUGGAGACCGCCGGGGUCAACUCGGAGGAAGGUGGGGAUGACGUCAAGUCAUCAUGCCCCUUAUGUCCAGGGCUUCACGCAUGCUACAAUGGCUGGUACAGAGAGUGGCGAGCCUGUGAGGGUGAGCGAAUCUCGGAAAGCCGGUCUCAGUUCGGAUUGGGGUCUGCAACUCGACCUCAUGAAGUCGGAGUCGCUAGUAAUCGCAGAUCAGCAACGCUGCGGUGAAUACGUUCCCGGGGCU